rnacentral:rRNA from 1 species
AUGAUGCGGGCCGGCAGCGAGAUCAACAUCUGGUCGGCCUGGCUGCACGUGCGAUCACUAUGUGUCGGGCGAGGCGAGGAGCGAGCAGGGCGUAGGGUCGGCGACGGUUGCCAUGAGGACGCAAGAGGAGUCGACGAUCCCGUGGAGAAGGCUCCGGUUUUCAAGAGAUUAAAUGUCCACGCGACGUACAAAUCAGGAAUAUCCAGUGGAGCCGGUGGGCGUCUUGUGCUGAGAAGUCGCGGACGCGUGAUGGGGCAGUUUUUCCUCUCGCGGCAGAGCGUCGUCCGCUCCAGAUGUCUUGCUCCUGGUCAUCGAGCCGCUGAUUGCACAGAUCCCUUGAGGUGCUGCCGCUGUUUGGAGAACGGCCACUGGGCGCGUGGGUGUCACAAUGCUUGGCGUCCAUUCAGCUCACUUGCAUGCCUUCCCAUGCCGCCACGAUCUCGCCUCGACACCGAGCAUUACCGAGCUCCAACUCCUUGUGAUGGUCCGUUGGUAUCCCAGCUCCCCUCCAAGGUGCUUCACCGCAGGUCCUGGGCAUCGGUCGUUUCCGCUCACGCUGAGUCGGCAACCCCAUCUGAUGUGCUGAUCCAGUCCACUCUAGCUGCCCAGGCUGAACUCCUGGUGUGCGUUGGGAGCUUUUUUGAGCGAGCGGAGGCUGCUCUGGGAAAGCUCUCUCUUGUGCCGGUUGUGUUGCAAUCCGCUCCUGCACCACAUUCUCCUAGUGAGGUUGAUGUUGGUGGCUCAGUGGAGAACAGAGUUGGGGAGCUCUAUGGUUGUUUCUCCCCUAGAGCUAUGGACAACUCAUCAUCGCCGUCUGCCUUGCCCACUGUGAUGCCCGAGCUUCAAGUGUUAUGCGCGAGCUCUGAUUCGCCUUUAUCAGUGGAGCAUAUGAUGAUGGACACGCAAGCAACCACGUGUGAGGGACAUGAUUCAACCUUGACAUGUGAGUCGAGUGAGGUGAACUCGGCUGCGCACUCACAUGUGGCUUCUGCACCCAUUCCACCCCCGCCGACGGAUAAUUCCAAUGCUCUCUUUGCAAAAGAGCUUUGUGACUUGCUCGCUAGCGUGGAGACUGUUAGCCCUGGAACUGGAAGGGCGAUUGCUUGCCUCCUGACCGGAACGACAUACAAGGGAAAAUACAAGAAGGCGAGUGAUUGCCCUCGGUCUGGUAUAAGCUCGUUUACCUCCCAAUGGGCGGGCCCAUUCUUUCCGCCUUCUGCGAUUGCUCAACCAUUUGCCGCCCACGGCCGGCAAAUAGGAGCUCUCUUCCUAUAUGAUUACUGUUUUGCUGCACUACUAUAUGGUUGCUGCAUCGCCGGUCGCUACAGGACGUUCUGCUACAGUACACCUCAUUACAGCCUACAAGCGAUGGCUCGCUUUGUCACGUUCCAAAUGGGUUGGCCCAGUCAGACCGCGCUUGGUGCGAAUCGCGACUGUUUGCCCCAGCGAGCGUCCUAUAGCAGCCCUCCGACAUCAUGGGCAAGAAAUACCCAAGCAUCUAUUCUAGACAAGGUUUUUGCCUUGAGGUUUAGCCACUUGUAUGAAAAUAACCCAUGCUGGCAAUGCGGCUUCAAAUUUUCUUUUCCCUUUGUAUGGGACGCUUUGGCAUGCAACGUUUUGUGUAUAUAUGCCCCGGAGAGUGUAUGGUCGUCCGAGGUGUGCAUGCGUGUGUUUUUCCUUGUUGCUUUUCAUCUACUUGCUCUGUGGUCCCUGUCGUCCGGGAUGGCCUCCUCGAGUGCGUGGAGCUGCUGCUGGUCGUCGUCCUCCUGCAUCGUCUGGUGUUUCUGCUCAGUCUGUGGGUGUGCUGGAGAAUUCCAUCCCUUCUGUGCUGGUGGUGCGAUGCCGUACGUGGCCAUUCUGGUGGGUGUUCUAGCCCCGGGGUCUCCGUCUUUGGUGUCCGAGUCUGUUCUUGGUGGUCAUUCCAUGCGACGGAGGGAGGAGAUUCGGCCGACGUUGUCCGCGACGUAUGCCUAUGUGUGCUCAGUCAGGUUCUCCGGCGAGGAGGCCUGGAGGACGCGAAUGACGCGUGAGGACGUGUCGUGGGUCUUCAUGAUCUCGUGUGUGCCGUCAGGGGACGACCGCAUCGAGCUCGCCGAGGCAUGCGGUGAGCCGGCGUUCUACUGGUGCAUCCACGACGAUGUCACUGUCGGCUUCCAAUCCCCGGUCAGCCCAAUCGAGUGCCCGUCCAAGAGAUCCCCAUCCCCGUCACCGUCCUGCCACCGCCAUCGCCUCCUCCAAGCCCUGGUCGCCGCCUGGCUUCCUUCUUCCGUCCCAGCCUGA